rnacentral:rRNA from 1 species
GGUAUGGGAUGAGCUUGCGUCCGAUUAGCUAGUUGGCGGGGCAACGGCCCACCAAGGCGACGAUCGGUAGCCGGCCUGAGAGGGUGAUCGGCCACAUUGGGACUGAGAUACGGCCCAGACUCCUACGGGAGGCAGCAGUAGGGAAUAUUGCACAACGGGGGAAACCCUGAUGCAGCAACGCCACGUGUGGGAAGAAGCAUUUCGGCGUGUAAACCACUGUCGUGAGGGAAUAAGGCUGAGUUUCGGCUCAGUUGAAUGUACCUCGAGAGGAAGCACCGGCAAACUUCGUGCCAGCAGCCGCGGUAAUACGAGGGGCGCAAGCGUUGUUCGGAAUCACUGGGCGUAAAGGGAGCGCAGGCGGAAGCUCAAGCGGAUUGUACAAUACCGGGGCCCAACCCCGGACCUGCAGUCCGAACUGGGUUUCUUGGAUAGUUCAGGGGCAGGC